AGCGAACGCUGGCGGCAGGCUUAACACAUGCAAGUCGAGCGGGCAUCGUCGGAUUUCAGCGGCAGACGGGUGAGUAACACGUGGGAACGUAUCCUUCGGUGCGUGACAACGCGGGGAAACUGGAGCUAAUACCGGAUACUCCCGCAUGGGGAAAGGUUUAGUGCGGAAGGAGCGGGCGGCGUCUGAUUAGCCAGUUGGUGGUGUAACGGCCUACCAAGGGGACGAGCAGUAGAUGGUCUGAGAGGAUGAUCAGCCACACUGGGAGUGAGACACGGCCCCGAAUCCUAGGGGAGGCAGCAGUGGGGAAUAUUGGCCAGCGGGCGCAAGGCUGAUGCAGCCAUGACGGGUGAGUGAUUAAGGCCUUAGGGUUGGAAAGCUAUUUUGUACGGGACGAUAAUGACGGUACCGGAAGAAUAAGCACCGGCUAACUUCGUG
rnacentral:rRNA from 1 species